rnacentral:lncRNA from 10 species
GGAAUUUCUCCAGACAAGUUAAAAAAACAAAGGCUUCAACAUCAGAAGCUGCCCUAUACAUUGUGGGAUAUUGAGCAGUGUAUCUGGUCCCUAUUCACUAGAUGCCUGUAGCAGCCUCACAGUUGUGAUAAUUUUGUCUCCAAUUCUCACGGAUGACUGAGGGGUUCAAGACUUCAGUGGAGGAAGUAACAGCAGAUGUGGUGGAGAUAGCAAGAGAACUGAAUUACAAGUGGAGCCUGAAGAUGGGACUGAAUUGCUGCAAUCUAAUGGUCAAACAUGAAUGGAUGAAGAGUUGCUUCUUUUGGAUGAGCAGUGAAAGUUGCUCCUUGAGAAGGAAUCUACUCUUGGUGAAGAUGCUGUGAACAUUGUUGAAAUGACAAGAAAGGAUUUAGAGUAUUCC